GAAAUGCGAUAAGUAAUGUGAAUUGCAGAAUUCAGUGAAUCAUCGAAUCUUUGAACGCACCUUGCGCUCCUUGGUAUUCCUUGGAGCAUGCCUGUUUGAGUAUCAUGAGCAAAUCUCAAAGUCGAUCCUUUUGUUAAUUCAAUUGGGUUUGCUUUGGACUUGGAGGUCUUGCAGAUUUCACCGUCUGCUCCUCUUAAAUGCAUUAGCUGGAUCUCAGUAUUAUGCUUGGUUCCACUCGGCGUGAUAAGUAUCACUCGCUGAGGACACUGAUAAAAAAGGUGGCCAGGAAAAUAUUGAUUGAACCGCUUCUAACGGUCUAUUAACUUAGACAAUUACCCUUAAGUUUGAUCUCAAAUCAGGUAGGACUACCCGCUGAACUUAAGCAUAUCAAUAAGCGGAGGAAAAGAACUAACAAGGAUUCCCCUAGUAACCUAGACUGCAAGGCACACAGGGG
rnacentral:rRNA from 1 species